CUGGCUUCAGGUUCGGGACAACAGUUGGAAUACGACUGCUAAUACCGGAUGUGCCGAGAGGCAAAAGCUUGAUGUGCCUGAAGAUGAAGCUCGCGUACUGAUUAGCUAGUUGGAGUGGUAACGGCACCCCAAGGCAACGAUCAGUAGCUGGUCUGAGAGGAUGACCAGUCACACUGGGACUGAGACACGGCCCAGCACUCCUACGGGAGGCCAGCAGUGGGGAAUUUUCCGCAAUGGGCGCAAGCCUGACGGAGCAAUACCGCGUGAGGGAGGACGGCUUUUGGGUUGUAAACCUCUUUUAUUGGGGAAGAAGGGUCUGACGGUACA
rnacentral:rRNA from 1 species